CCUACGGGUGGCAGCAGUGAGGAAUAUUGGUCAAUGGACGAGAGUCUGAACCAGCCAAGUAGCGUGAAGGAUGACUGCCCUAUGGGUUGUAAACUGCUUUUGUACAAGGGUAAACCUGAAUACGUGUAUUCAGCUGAAAGUACUGUACGAAUAAGGAUCGGCUAACUCCGUGCCAGCAGCCGCGGUAAUACGGAGGAUCCAAGCGUUAUCCGGAUUUAUUGGGUUGAAAGGGUGCGUAGGCGGAUUGAUAAGUUAGAGGUGAAAUGUCCGAGCUUAACUCGGGAACUGCCUCUAAUACUGUUGAUCGAGAGGGUAGAUGCGGUAGGCGGAAUGUAUGGUGUAGCGGUGAAAUGCUUAGAGAUCAUACAGAACACCGAUUGCGAAGGCAGCUUACCAAUCUAUAUCUGACGUUGAGGCACGAAAGCGUGGGGAGCAAACAGGAUUAGAUACCCUGGUAGUC
rnacentral:rRNA from 1 species